AGAAGAUAUAAGUAACAUGAACAUCAACUAAAUUAGAGGAGGAUAAAAUAUUUCAAAGCAAAACUGAGCUAGGCUAUGUAUUAAUACUAUAUAUCUCUAACAGAUAGCUUAUGGAAACAACAUAUGAUAUGUUCAUAAGUUGUUUUCAACUUAUUCUUAUAAGUUAUAAGCUCUCUAGGAUAACUUGUGAAAACAACUUAUCGCGUAUAUGUAAACAGCCUGACAAUAUUUUCAUCUUUUCUUAUAUAAAAUAACUUCAUAUGAUAAGUACAUGUGUCAUAAGCGCUUAAUUAAGAUGUUUAUCCAAACAUGCCCAUAGUUUCCAACUGCAAAUUCAAAAGAAAGAGAUAGCACAGUAUCUUACAAUAGCUCUACGAUACUCUCUUUCGAGGUAGAAUGAAUCACCAAGU
rnacentral:lncRNA from 1 species